rnacentral:rRNA from 1 species
UACAGAGGUCUCAAGCGUUGUUCGGAUUCAUUGGGCGUAAAGGGUGUGUAGGUGGCGCGCUAAGUCGGGUGUGAAAUUUCGGAGCUUAACUCCGAAACUGCAUUCGAUACUGGCGUGCUUGAGGACUGGAGAGGAGACUGGAAUUCAUGGUGUAGCAGUGAAAUGCGUAGAGAUCAUGAGGAAGACCAGUGGCGAAGGCGGGUCUCUGGACAGUUCCUGACACUGAGACACGAAGGCCGGGGGAGCAAACGGG